rnacentral:misc_RNA from 1 species
AAUUACAAUAAGAUAAAGAGUAAGUUAAAACACUUAAAGUUAAUUUACAUUAAUAGAAAUCAAAUUCAAUAAUUUAGGUUCACAUAUUAACACAUAACUAUUAAAUAAAAACUAUUAAAAAAUAACUUGAAUAAUAAAUAAUAAAUUAAUUUAAGAAAUAUUAGUUAUCUUCAUGAGCAAUUUUUUUAUCAAUGUAUCAAACUCAUUUUUCCUGUAAACUUUUAAUAUUUACAAAUUAUUAUUACUUAUGAGUUUAGAUAAAUAAGAAAAUUACCAUUAUAUUCAGCAAUUCAAGAAACGUAAAAUCACGUAUUUAACUUACACUUGUGGAACCAAAAUCGGCCAAUUUUACCCAUUGUCUUUUGUUUUAUCAAAUUCGUUUAUUUUUAUUAAUUACAGUUUAUUAAUUAUGAUACAUAACAUUACGUAAUAUCAAAGCUACACAAGUAAAAUGCAUUAAAAGAAUUAGUUACUCGCAUAAGAAUGACAUCUACAUGUUCCCUGAAUUAUUUACUCCAAAGACCCAGAAUAUAUUGCUAACGAAAUAAAUUUAUAAAACAUAAAUCUAUAAUAUUUAGUUACUACAAGAGUGAAGUACAUCACAAAUAGGUAGAUAAAUUUAUGUUGUUUUUUAAAUUUAUUUUGUUAGGAAAAUAUUCUGUGCCUUUGUAUCUUGAAAACAAAUACGGACCGUUAGGAAAACAUCACGGACCGUUUAGAUACCAUUCUUAUUUGAGCAAUGACUAAAUAGUAUGUCGUUUCAUAAAUUUAUUUUGAUAGUAAAAUAAUCCGAAUAUCUUCAAAAAAAAAAAAUUUAGGAAACAUUUAGAUACCAUUCUCAUACGAGCAACUAAUUUUUGUAGUAAACAUUAUUCUUAUAGCUAUAUUACGUAAUAAUAUUUAUUUAUUUGUGAAAAAUGACUUCUUUCGAUUACAACUGAGAGCGAAAAAUAACAAAUAAUUUAUAUUAUUAAUUCUUUAAUUUGUUUUAUAUACAUACUUGUUUUGUAAUGGCUUAAUAUUAAGCUAUCUGGCCAUCGGUAACAUUUUUAUAAGAAAUUUUAGAGCAAAAAAUUAGUCAUAAAAAAUUACGUAUACUUUCAUCAGCAAAAUAUAAUAAUAAUUAGCAAAUACCCAUAUAUAAUUUGAUAUGUUCUAAUAAUAUAACUUAUUGUUAGCUAGCUUAAAGACUUGUGGGCAAUCAGGAAAGCAAAAAAUUGGUAAAUUUUUUUAAAUGAGUAAAACUGAAUGAACUUAUUUAUUGAAAAACCUUUACAUAUAAAAGAGGAACACUUAUAUAAUAUGCAAUAAUUUUUUUAUUAAAAAAAAUUUUAAAAUAAGUAAAAAAUAGCAGCUCAUCGAAGACGCUUCCAAAAUAAUUUGUCUUGCAAUGUUCAUUCUAACGCGUGUGUUAAGUUAGCCCCCACACAUUAAAAUUCUGAUAUGAGUUCCGAUUUUAUUUUUAAGAGAUAAAGAAUUCUGUGUAGUUUAAAAAAAGAGUUCUGUUGAUUAACGGUCGGAAAUUAAAAUUUAAAAAAUGGGAUGCUAACUUCUUAUCGAAAUUUCAGAUUCGAAUAGUUUUGAAUGGCUCAAUAGUUUUAUUUCACGAUUAUCUAGAGUUCCUGAAGCAUAAAAAAAAUUUCGAUUAAAAAAAAUUAAAAAUUAUUAAAAAUUUGAUUUUAAGAUACGAUAGUUGUGAGAUGUUUCUAUUGUUAUUUUACUUAUUUCGCAGAGUUCUUGACGAAUAAAAAAAAUUUAGAUCAAAAAAUUAAAGAAUUAUGAACUAUAAACAAAAUUUCAAAAUCAGUUAAAAAUGACAUGUAUCUGCUUAUCCUGUCAUCCAAUCGUUCUGGCUUAUAAAACUUUUCGCCAGACUUAUCGAGAACUACUCAAAAAUGUAAUUAGAACUAUUCGGAACUGCAAAAAAUUUUUCGACCACGGUAUUUAGAAAAUUUUGCGAUCACCAUUUAAUUAUGUAACAGUACCUUACAAACCGUUGACCGAAUCGUUUUGACUUGUAAAAUUUUUCGCGAGAACUCGACGAAAACUAUCCAGAAAUGUAAUCAGAACUAUACGGAACUCCAAAAAAUUUUUCGACCACAAGACUUAAAAAAUUUUGCGAUCAUCGUUAUAAUACGUAACAAUACCUUGCAAACCAUUGAUCGCUUUCAUUCGUAAGACUUUUCGCUAAAACUCGUCGAGAACUAUCCAGAAAUGUAAUCAAAAUUGUUCGGAACUCCGAAAAAUUUUUCGACCAUGGGACUUAAAAAUUUUUUACGAUCACCAUUCUAAUAUGUGACAGUACCUUGCAAACCGUUGAUCAAAACGUUUUGAUUUAUAAGACUUUUUGCGAGAACUCGUCGAGAACUACCUAGAAAUAUAAUCAGAACUAUUCAGAACUCCAGAAAUUUUUCGACCAUGAGAUUUACAAGAUGUUCGAUACCGAUUCUACAUUUUUGCAAACUAUUUGUGUGAUCUCUUUGAAUAAUAUAACUUUCCAUCAGAAACCCUAAAAACCUACCAGAAUUUUAAUCGUAAUUGUUUAAAAUUCUAAGAAACUUUUAGUUGCGUCAAGUUUACACAGUAAAAAAUAUUUUGUAUUUGUGUUAAAAUUUUUCCUUGUAAAAAGUUUUGUGUUAAAUUUUUAACACAGUUGUGUUAAUUUACCAUAUUACUGUUGUGUUAUUUGAACUUUUGUAUGUUAAAUUAAUAUUAACUAUUUUUAAAAGUUAAAAUAACACAAUUUAUACGUAAAUACAUGAAAUCUUGGUGACGUAUUUUAUAUGUUAAAGUGAACAAAUAAAUUAUGUUACUUUCCUCUUUGUAACAGUUACCAUAUAUUAAAUGAACAUAUUUCUCAUGUUAUUAUAAAGAAAUCGUUGUCUUAUAUCGUUUGAUUCCCCCCAACCCCACGCAACGCGACGUUCGUGUUUAUAGCCGCUGCAACAGACCAACAAGUCCCUGCGUGUAGCGAACACGGAUGGCGUAGCGUAUGUACCUCACUUUUCUCACUUUAGUGAUUAUGUGUAAGUGUGAAGUUAUCGCUUGAGACUACCGUGUUUUUUUCUGCAUAAGAAGCAUUUUUCUAAUUCCCACUCAGUGAUCUCAGUGUGUCGAUUACGACCAUCGUAAGUAUUAUGCGAAAUCUUGUGAUUUAGUCCUUAUAACUUCUUAAGUAAAAUUAAGGACCAUCACUAAUACGGCUGUGUGACGACGAUUUGCAAAUAAUUAGCUCGCCGGCUAUUUAAUUCCAUUGAAAACGAAUUUAAUUGUAUAAACAUCAACUAUGUCGAUGAAAAAUUAUAGUCGCAGAAUAGCGCCAAACGAAUUUGAAAAACAAGGGGAUUGUUUUAUUUUUCUACGCAAGAGUAAAAUCGUGUGCGAAUACGAAACUCUGGACAAAAUUCUUAUUCCUCUAUAUUUAUCGUUAAACAUGCAGGAAAUUAAUAUAAAUUAUUUAUUCUGCGUUUUGCAAUAUAAAGAUGAUAAAGUAUGGGUAAAAAUUGAAGAGCCAUGUAAUUUUCACCAUUUUAUUGUAAAAGCCGAAGAAACUUUUCCCUCAUUAAGAAAUACAGAUUUCAUAUUCACUGACAUAAACAAUGCUAAACUGGAAUCAGAUAUUUUAUUGGAUUAUGUUCGAAUAAAUCCACAAGGAGUUAUAAUUAAAAUAAAAACUGUUACAAAUAUCAUUGAUAUCUCAUUUUCGCAAACUUCUGAAGAAAUAAAUAUACCAUCUACAAGUUCAGAUAGAGAUGCAGAUAGUUCUAUUGUAGUAUCAGAUAUUUCUGAUAUUAGAUCGGAUAGUGAUCCUGAAGAAUAUGCAUCAUCCUCAAAAAAAUGCAAAUUAAAUACUACCGCUUUGGAAAAUGAAAUUAUAUCAAAAAAUGUAUGAUAAGUAAAUUUCUUUUUGUUUUGCUUUAUUACGUUUAUUUUGUUUUAUUAUUUUAUUAAUACGUAUUGUAAUUUUUUUCUAGAAAUUACGUGAAAUAAUAAAAGAUUCGGCGUGCGGACAAGAAAUACUUAACGAUUAUGAAAAAAAUAAAUAUUUAUCGGAAAAGAGUAGAAGGCUCGUAGUAAAAAUUGUUGUGCAACAUUUAAUAAAAUAUAAAGAGAAAGUAAACAGACAAAUUUUAUCUCAUGAAAAAUGUAGUUAUGCACAAGCUAUUAUUGACCUCUUUCCAAAUUUAAAAAACACUGAAGGUGAUCUUGGCUAUGAACAUUUUUAUAAUCCUGAAACUAGUACUGGAUAUAUUGCUUCACGUUUAUCGAACGUACAACGAAAAAAAAGCGUUUCAAAAAUUGUUUUUAAUAAAAAACAAAAAGAAAAUAUCGAAAAUAUCAAUAUAAGAACUGAGUAUGCUGAUGAAACAGAUACUAUUAAAGACUCUAUAGAUUUUAUGAAACAUGCAA